rnacentral:sRNA from 1 species
UUCUAGCCCCGAUUGUAGUGGAAAUCCUCGAAGAGAUUGCAACGAAAAGCGGGAAAUAGC